AGACGAGGAAAGGGAGGGGAGGGCAGCCCAGAAAACAAGGGAGCUGCUUUGCAGGAGUUUCGAAAGAGAUGGUGUAGAAGACACACACACAUGUCUAAUUCCUUGCCUUGGCUGGAUAACACGGCUGCAAAAGGUUAGGACACAGCGAGAAGGUGGCUGUCUAUGUGCGAGGAAGAGAGCUCUAACUAGGAACCACAUCAGCUGGCACCUUGGUUUUGGACUUCCCAGCCUCAAGAUCUGUGAGAAAUAAAUAUCUGUUGUCUAAGACACCUGAUUAUGGGAUUUUGUUACAGCAGCCUAAGCUAAGACACCUAGAUUUUCCUCACGGGUUCCUAUCUUCAAAGACAGUCCAGUACUAGAAAGCCGGAACAUCAUCUAAAUUGCACCGGUGAAGUAUAGUAAGUUUGGUCAAUACUUAGCAAAUGGGUUAUGACCAAAAGCUGGGAGAGUGCAAGGGUGUGGGUCUAUCUGGGGGUUGUUUUUUAUUUUUUGUGGAGUGCAGGUAGCAAGGGGAAGGGAUACUAACAAGGGUGACUAGGUAAGAAAUCAAGUUUUUUGAGUCUGGAUUAGAAGAUCAACCCCAGAAACAGUAAGCAACUCAUAACAAACUCAGUUUUCAAGCUACAGAUAACCUGGAUUGAGGAGAAACAAUUUGGAUAUCCUAGGUUAACUUGAUGCCUAUCCUUUCCAUAGGGUGCCCAAGACAGUGCCAGUGGAAUGAGGCCAUGUGGACCAGUCAAAAAUACAAAAUGAAUGACCCCUCUUCAGUAGUUAGCAGGAGUAAAACCCUCCAGUUGGGACAUACUUGGUUCCAGUGAACUUACACCGGAGGUUGGGGAGGUUGGGGCAUGUUUCAAACUGAACACUGCUCUUUACAAAUAAAGCACUUGAACCAUCACACACCAAAGGGACUGGGGGUGAGUGGAGUGGUAGUUGUCAGGGAGAGAAGCAAAAGCCAAUUUUGACUUCAGCUCAGAGUUACUUUUACUUUGAGCUCCAGUGUCCCACAUGUGAUUCUUCUUGUCCAAAGAUAGAAGUAGGUUUCAGUGAGUUUUUAACUUAAUCUGCUUUUGGCCAUAUAAGGUGCCAGGGCUGCAUGACAUCAGGCACAAGGCUUCCCAGGGCUUUGACCCUGUAGAGAAGAUGCCUCCCCAGAGUGUUGACAGUUCACCCUGAGCCAAAGGCCUUCCUGUCCCAAAGAAGGAGGGAGAUAGGCAUUGUCAUUUUACAUGGAAGGAACUACUUUCUGAUUUAUUGUAAACACUGUACGAACUACAGAGGCAGCUUCCAUUCCUGCCUAGCUGGCUACUAAUGAAAUUCCCUUCAUCCCUGUAGAAGGUGGGGGCAGUGAAGAAAUGGAGCUGCUUGAAGAAUCAGAUAUGUUCCUAGCAUAUACAGUUCCAGAAACUGCCCAUUUCCGCCUCCACUGAAGACCACCGUGAUGAUGCUGUCAGAGGGAGGGGAGCCCGGGUUCCUCGUUACGAGAGGUGAGGAGAGCAGCAGGUCCAGGACAGCAGAAAGAAAGGCAGCAUCUGGGAGCACCAGAAAACAGGAUUCCCCUCUGGCCCCGGGGUCUCCCGGACCCCAACUCAUUCCUUAUAAGGAGAUGCCAGGCCUGUGGGGCUCUAAGAGGUGUCUUCAUCUGAAACUAAGCCGGGGCAGUCCCCAGCCCAGCCCAACUUGGUUCUGUCUAAGCCAGCAUAGUACUUACAGGUCUGGCAAUGGCUCUAUGGACAAGAAGUCAUUCUUGCAUUCAGAAAACAAAUCCAAGAAAUAAUGUAUGACCUAAAGGUUCUUGAAAGUUGGGUGGCCAAAUGUACACUGAAUAUACAGAACAAAACCUCUGUAUCAGCAAUUUGCCAGGUUCUCUUUAAGACACCCCAGUUAAAAAAAAAAUUCUUGGAGAGUGACAAAUAAGAAAAUAUGCUAUCUGUAGGCGAUAUGAUAGGAAAUUCACCAUUAUGAUAAAUUUCACCCUUAUAAACUCCUUGAGGGCAAUGUUUAACAUCUUGAUCUGAACACAGUGAGUGCUCAGUAAAGCUGUAGUAAAUAAAUGUAUUUAAGAGGAA